GACGAACGCUGGCGGCGUGCCUAAUACAUGCAAGUCGAGCGGAACUGGGGGAGCUUGCUCCUUCCAGUUUAGCGGCGGACGGGUGAGUAACACGUGGGCAACCUGCCCUGCAGAUCGGGAUAACUCCGGGAAACCGGUGCUAAUACCGAAUAGUUUGGCGCCUCUCCUGCGGCGCUACGGAAAGACGGUUUCGGCUGUCACUGCAGGAUGGGCCCGCGGCGCAGUAGCUAGUUGGUGGGGUAACGGCCCACCAAGGCGACGAUGCGUAGCCGACCUGAGAGGGUGACCGGCCACACUGGGACUGAGACACGGCCCAGACUCCUACGGGAGGCAGCAGUAGGGAAUCUUCCGCAAUGGACGCAAGUCUGACGGAGCAACGCCGCGUGAGUGACGAAGGUUUUCGGAUCGUAAAACUCUGUUGUGAGGGAAGAACACGUACCAACUAACUAUUGGUACCUUGACGGUACCUCACCAGAAAGCCACGGCUAACUACGUGCCAGCCGCCGCGGUAA
rnacentral:rRNA from 1 species